UAAAAGGAGCAUGAUAUCUUCUUUAACUAACUUUGAAAUUUUCAAUUCAGUUUCUUAUUCGCCGUUAAAAGGGCCAGACACAUAUCAAAAUGGGAUCGCUCAUACUCACCGCCAUCUUGAUCACUUUUGGGAUUCGAAUGGUCUUCUUCGGAAUUUGUCAACUCCACAAGAGCGGGCAAAGUUUUCUCAGCUUUUCAGAUCGUGACAUUUCCGAACAUCGCCUGUGUUGGAUCCGGGGCAAGAAAUGGAACGUGCUUCACCUCCGAUGAAUGUACUACGAAAGGCGGAACACCGAGCGGACUUGCGCC